CAGCACCUCAAGUGGUCAGGAUGAUUAUUGGGCCUAAAGCAUCCGUAGCCGGCGCUGUAAGUUUUCGGUUAAAUCUGUACGCUCAACGUACAGGCUGCCGGGAAUACUGCAGCGCUAGGGAGUAGGAGAGGUAGACGGUACUCGGUAGGAAGGGGUAAAAUCCUUUGAUCUAUUGAUGACCACCUGUGGCGAAGGCGGUCUACCAGAACACGUCCGACGGUGAGGGAUGAAAGCUGGGGGAGCAAACCGGAUUAGAUACCCGAGUAGUCC
rnacentral:rRNA from 1 species